rnacentral:rRNA from 1 species
CCUACGGGAGGCUGCAGUGGGGAAUAUUGGACAAUGGGCGAAAGCCUGAUCCGGCCAUGCCGCGUGUGUGAAGAAGGCCUUCGGGUUGUAAAGCACUUUCAGUGGGGAAGAAAGCCUUGGGGCUAAUACCCUCGAGGAAGGACAUCACCCACAGAAGAAGCACCGGCUAACUCCGUGCCAGCAGCCGCGGUAAUACGGAGGGUGCGAGCGUUAAUCGGAAUUACUGGGCGUAAAGCGCGCGUAGGCGGUCUGAUAAGCCGGUUGUGAAAGCCCCGGGCUCAACCUGGGAACGGCAUCCGGAACUGUCAGGCUAGAGUGCAGGAGAGGAAGGUAGAAUUCCCGGUGUAGCGGUGAAAUGCGUAGAGAUCGGGAGGAAUACCAGUGGCGAAGGCGGCCUUCUGGACUGACACUGACGCUGAGGUGCGAAAGCGUGGGUAGCAAACAGGAUUAGAUACCCCAGUAGUC